GGUUAAGUGACUAAGCGUACACGGUGGAUGCCUAGGCAAUCAGAGGCGAAGAAGGACGUGCUAAUCUGCGAAAAGCUUGGAUGAGUUGAUAAGAAGCGUUUAAUCCAAGAUAUCCGAAUGGGGAAACCCAGUAGAUGAAGAAUCUACUAUCAAUAGAUGAAUACAUAGUCUGUUGAGGCAAACCGGGAGAACUGAAACAUCUAAGUACCCCGAGGAAAAGAAAUCAACCGAGAUUUUGUCAGUAGCGGCGAGCGAAAGCGAAAGAGCCAGCAAGUGAUAGCAGCAAAGACAGAAGAAUUGGCUGGGAAGCCAAGCGACACAGGGUGAUAGCCCCGUAUUUUAAGUUUAUGUUGUGGUACUAAACUUGCAACAAGUAGGGCGGGACACGAGAAAUCCUGUUUGAAGAUGGGGGGACCAUCCUCCAAGGCUAAAUACUCCUGAUUGACCGAUAGUGAACCAGUACUGUGAAGGAAAGGCGAAAAGAACCCCA
rnacentral:rRNA from 1 species